rnacentral:rRNA from 1 species
UACGGGGGGGGCAAGCGUUGUUCAGAAUUACUGGGCGUAAAGGGCUCGUAGGUGGCCAACUAAGUCAGACGUGAAAUCCCUCGGCUUAACCGGGGAACUGCGUCUGAUACUGGAUGGCUUGAGUUUGGGAGAGGGACGCGGAAUUCCAGGUGUAGCGGUGAAAUGCGUAGAUAUCUGGAGGAACACCGGUGGCGAAGGCGGCGUCCUGGACCAACACUGACACUGAGGAGCGAAAGCCAGGGGAGCAAACGGG